rnacentral:rRNA from 1 species
UACGGGGGGGGCAAGCGUUGUUCGGAAUUACUGGGCGUAAAGGGCUCGUAGGCGGCCAACUAAGUCAGAUGUGAAAUCCCCAGGCUUAACCUGGGAACUGCAUCUGAUACUGGAUGGCUUGAAUCCGGGAGAGGGAUGCAGAAUUCCAGGUGUAGCGGUGAAAUGCGUAGAUAUCUGGAGGAAUACCGGUGGCGAAGGCGGCAUCCUGGACCGGCAUUGACGCUGAGGAGCGAAAGCGUGGGGAGCGAACAGG